GAUGAACGCUGGCGGCGUGCCUAAUACAUGCAAGUCGAGCGAACAGAUGAGGAGCUUGCUCCUCUGACGUUAGCGGCGGACGGGUGAGUAACACGUGGAUAACCUACCUAUAAGACUGGGAUAACUUCGGGAAACCGGAGCUAAUACCGGAUAAUAUAUUGAACCGCAUGGUUCAAUAGUGAAAGACGGUUUUGCUGUCACUUAUAGAUGGAUCCGCGCCGCAUUAGCUAGUUGGUAAGGUAACGGCUUACCAAGGCGACGAUGCGUAGCCGACCUGAGAGGGUGAUCGGCCACACUGGAACUGAGACACGGUCCAGACUCCUACGGGAGGCAGCAGUAGGGAAUCUUCCGCAAUGGGCGAAAGCCUGACGGAGCAACGCCGCGUGAGUGAUGAAGGUCUUCGGAUCGUAAAACUCUGUUAUUAGGGAAGAACAAAUGUGUAAGUAACCAUGCACGUCUUGACGGUACCUAAUCAGAAAGCCACGGCUAACUACGUG
rnacentral:rRNA from 1 species